rnacentral:rRNA from 1 species
UACAGAGGUUUCAAGCGUUGUUCGGAAUUACUGGGCGUAAAGGGUGUGUAGGCCGCGCUGAUAGUCAGUCGUGAAAUCCCAGGGCUCAACCUUGGGUCUGCGAUUGAUACUUUAGUGCUAGAGCGCAUGAAGGGAGUCUGGAAUUCACGGUGUAGCAGUGAAAUGCGUAGAUCUCGUGAGGAACACCAAAGGCGAAGGCAGGACUCUAGAAUGUUGCUGACGCUGAGGCACGAAGGCUAGGGGAGCAAACGGG